rnacentral:misc_RNA from 1 species
AGAAAGCAUAUUUGAUAGAUCUGGAAGCAAGGGUGAAGGAAUUGGAAACAAAGAAUGCAGAACUUGAAGAGAGGUUGUCUACUUUGCAAAAUGAGAACCAAAUGCUUAGACAUAUACUGAAGAACACAACAGCAGGUGCACAGGAAGGGAGGAAGUAGACAUAUGAUCGAUCUUAUGUCGAUAUGUCAGCAUUCUUGUUUAGAUCCUAUGUAGGCACUGAAGAGAAAUUCUCUUCUGGAUUUGAGAAUGCAUGCUAGUUUCGGGUGGAUUGUUCUGAUUUGAUGCAUUGCAUACUUGCUACUCUUAACCGUUGUCGGUUAUAUAUUAUCAGCAGAGAGUGAAGGAUUGUGGCUAAGCUAUUCUUAAAGUCACCAGCCUUUGGUAAGUUGCAUGGACUAAUCUUGGAUGAUAUAUGCUACAAUUACCUAUAACCUUUGCUAGCGUUCCCUAGUGAGUUGAAAUCUUUAUUAAAAACCAAAUCGAUGUACUGAUAAGACUCGGUGUAAAAGAAUUUGUGCAAUUGAAAACCA